GAAGACAGCGGUUUGACGUUGUGGUGUUACCCGGACGAGGCGCUUGUCUCGUAAGGGGAAGCU
rnacentral:rRNA from 1 species